UUAACGGAGAGUUUGAUCCUGGCUCAGGACGAACGCUGGCGGCAUGCCUAAUACAUGCAAGUCGAGCGGACAGAAGGGAGCUUGCUCCCGGAAGUCAGCGGCGGACGGGUGAGUAACACGUGGGCAACCUGCCCUUUAGAUUGGGAUAACUUCGGGAAACCGAAGCUAAUACCGAAUAAUACAUAGAAUCUCCUGGUUCAAUGUUGAAAGAUGGCCUUCGUGCUAUCACUAAAGGAUGGGCCCGCGGCGCAUUAGCUAGUUGGUAAGGUAACGGCUUACCAAGGCGACGAUGCGUAGCCGACCUGAGAGGGUGAUCGGCCACACUGGGACUGAGACACGGCCCAGACUCCUACGGGAGGCAGCAGUAGGGAAUCUUCCGCAAUGGACGAAAGUCUGACGGAGCAAUGCCGCGUGAGUGAGGAAGGCCUUCGGGUCGUAAAGCUCUGUUGUGAGGGAAGAACAAGUACCGGCGUAACUACCGGUACCGUGACGGUACCUCACCAGAAAGCCACGGCUAACUACGUGCCAGCAGCCGCGGUAAUACGUAGGUGGCAAGCGUUGUCCGG
rnacentral:rRNA from 1 species